rnacentral:rRNA from 1 species
GAUCAUGGCUCAGGAUGAACGCUAGCUACAGGCUUAACACAUGCAAGUCGAGGGGCAGCAUGGUCUUAGCUUGCUAAGGCCGAUGGCGACCGGCGCACGGGUGAGUAACACGUAUCCAACCUGCCGUCUACUCUUGGACAGCCUUCUGAAAGGAAGAUUAAUACAAGAUGGCAUCAUGAGUCCACAUGUUCACAUGAUUAAAGGUAUUCCGGUAGACAUGGGG